rnacentral:tRNA from 1 species
AAUUUAGGGUGAAACAACGGGGUUUUAAAUUUUUUUGGGAAAUUUGAAACACAUGAUUACCAGGCAGUCUUUCAGGAUCAUAUUCUGGAUCAAAUUU